AACGAACGCUGGCGGCAUGCCUAACACAUGCAAGUCGAACGAGACCUUCGGGUCUAGUGGCGCACGGUUGCGUAACGCGUGGGAAUACGCCCUCCGGUUCGGCAUAACUCAGGGAAACUUGAGGUAAUACCGGUUGAUGUCUUCGGACCACAGAUUUAUCGCCGAAGGAUGAGCCCGCGUGUGAUUAGGUAGUUGGUGGGGGAAUGGCCCACCAAGCCGACGAUCCUUAGCUGGUCUGAGAGGAUGAUCAGCCACACUGGGACUGAGACACGGCCCAGACUCCUACGGGAGGCAGCAGUGGGGAAUAUUGGACAAUGGGCGAAAGCCUGAUCCAGCAAUGCCGCGUGAGUGAUGAAGGCCUUAGGGUUGUAAAGCUCUUUUAUCGGGGAGGAAAAUAUGACGUUACCCGAUGAACAAGCACCUGCUAACUACGUGCCAGCCGCCGCGGUAA
rnacentral:rRNA from 1 species